CCUACUCUGUACGUGCUCUCUUUUAAAAAUAGAAAGAUACAUUUGAGUUCGCUGAACCAAGACAUUUGGAUCUUCAGACAGUGACCACUUUUCCCAUUAACAAUGACAAAGUCUCCUUGACCUUCAAUUCAAUUCUUGUCCACAUCUCUACCAAUAAAUAAACUAAAAUCUUCUCAUUUUCUUUCUCACUCGCAUAUUCAUUCAUCACAAUUUUCUCACCCUAGCUACCUCUUUAAUUGCUGCCGUACAUAUUCACUAUCACGGGCCUGCAAGUACUCUCUAGUAGUACUUUGUCUGGAUACCUUUAAUUUUCAGGGUCGUGGGCUCUGACAAGAAAAGGUGCAAGGUUUCUGGUCAUGACUCAUGAACGCUGAAGAGCUAGGUGGAGCCGCAACAGAGAGUUUUGAAUGGUAUAGGUGGCUCUUCAAUUCCGAAGAAUAGAAAGAGGAAGAGUUAUUUUCAGCUACUUAAUUAUUAGUUGUUACAUGCAUGUUACGGUACACAAUGAUGGCUUUGGUUCUCCUCACACUUUCAAUCUUGGUGCUUCCGGUGGUGUUGCCGCCGCUGCCGCCACCGCCUUUGAGCCUUCUCCUUGUUCCCGUUUUCAUCUUGCUGCUGCUAUUUUUCUUGGCCUUUUCAUCAACACCCUCCAAAUUUCCGAGCUUUGCUGUCCUUUUCUCUUCGCUGUAUUAGUGAUUUUGUGAGAUCCAGAACAAAGUCAAUAAAGCUGUGGAAUCUUGAGUUUGUUUCAGCUUUCUAGGUUGCACGGAUUAUUCAUGUUUUCGCUGUCCAUAUGGAGAGGUAAUGAAUUUUGUUCAUGAUUA